ACCAAAAAGAAACAUUGGUUUGCUUUGAUUUCUCAAGGAAGAAGAGAGAAUAAGUGAUGUUGGAGAUUAGCAUUCUCUCAGAAUUGGGCUGCAAUAGCCGAUUUCCAUCUUUGAACCUGCAAUCCUGCAACUCGAGAACAACAUGGAAGAAGAAGAGGCAAGCUUUGUCUUCUUUGAAGCCUCUACUAUCUUUUUAAUUCUCCUCCUAAUGCAGAACCAGUUUAUGGAGCGAGAAGCAGAUUCUCAAAAUUUGACGUCUACAUCUACAACUCCAUGGCUCUGAGGUGAUAGAAUCUGCUAUGUCGGUUACCCGUACUUGAGCUUAAUGUCUCUCCCUCACAAAGAUUGUAGUAAUAUUUUCUCAGCUUUUUAGUUUUGUGAUAGCAAAUCUGAUAGAAACUGCAACCAUAGGGGUGUGUUUCCAGAGAUUUUACCACCUCUUACGAUACACUACUCUGUUUAAAUCUUUGACAGGUUCAUAAGGUGGGUGAGUUAAGCAUCUCAUGUCUCUCUGUUCUUAUUAUUACUAGUGAUAAUAAUAAACUUGAUAUCUUAUAAA